CAUGGCUCUGCAGUCCACAGACUCUGAGUUGGAGGCGAAGGAGUCUGGGAUCACGCAGGAGCUAAUCAAGUCCUUGUACCCUCAGCAGACACGCAUCUGUGCAUGGUGCUGGACCUGCAUCAUCCUCGUGGGUACGAAUGUCCUGCAUUGCCUUCCUCUUCGUCUGGCCAGUGGCCAUGCUUUCCACCUUUGGCUAUCCUGCUCAAAUCCUGCAACCCUGCCAAGAGUUGGAGAAAAAAAACAGGUGAAACCAGUACUCAAGCUCAUGCUUCAGGUGGCUUUCUUUUUAGCUGGGUUCCUGGCUAAAGUGAAAGGGAAAAAGGCAACCCAAGACAAGGCCCCUAUCUUCGUUACAGCACCACGGUCCACUUUCUUUGACUCAAUCCCCUGUGUGGUGGCGGGGUUACCCUCAGUGGUCUCUGCAAGUCAAAAUGUGCAGAUCCCAUUGGCUGGGAAAUUCCUACUGUCAACACAGCUGGUGCUUGUGAUCCGAGAAGACCCCAAUUCCAGGAAGAAUACUAAGGAUGAAAUCUUGAAGUGAGUGACAUUUGGAAAGAAGUGGCCACAGAUUCUGAUUUUCCUAGAAGGUGUGUGCACCAAUCGCUCCCGUCUAGUCACUUUUAAACUAGAGGCCUUCUGUCCAGGUGUUCCUGUGUAGCCAGUGCUGCUCAGGUACCCAAACACCCUGGACAUGGCAAUCUGGAUCUGGCAGGGAUUUACAGCCUUCCAGGCCUGUAUGUUGACACUCAGUCAACUCUUCACCAGGGUAGAAGUUGAGUUUAUGCCUGUUUAUAUCCCAAAUGAUGAAGAAAAAAAAGACCCCAUCCUUUUUGCCAAUACAGUACACAUCAGACACGGCAAAUGCUCUAGGGGUGCCUGGGACAGGGCACACUUACAAAGACUGCAGACUGAUGAUCUCUGCAGGUAACCUUCAACUACCCAUAGAACUGGCUUGGUGGAAUUUACAAAAAUUAACCAGAAGUUGAAGUUAGAUAGGGAUAACAUUCAUCAGCAUUUGGAUGAAUAUGCUGCAAUUGCAGUUGCCUCAAAAGGAGGGAAGACAGGAAUUGAAGAAUUUUCAAGUUAUUUAAAACUCCCAAUUUCAGAGCCCUUGAGACAACCCCCUGCCCUCUUUGGCAGGAAUAAUGAUGGCAGCAUAGACUUCAGAGAGUAUGUAAUAGGUCUGACUGUUCUAUGCAAUCCUGCCAACAUUGAAAAGAGUCUGCAAAUAUCCUUUAAGCUUUUUGAUCUUGAUGCGGAUGGUUUAAUAACAGAACAGGAGUUCGCUGCUAUACUUCAGGCAGCUUUUGGAGUGCCAGAUCUUGAUGUUUCCAGGCUCUUUCAGGAAAUAGCUGGACAGAAAUCAGUGUACAUUUUAUAUGAGAGAUUUAAGAAAUUUGCCCUGAAGCAUCCAGCAUAUCCCAAGUUAUUUAAUUCACUCCUAGACCUCCAGGCAGCCUAUAUAUAUUCAUUACCCCAAAAAGUACAGUUUUAAUCACUGUAUUCAAAUGUUACAAGUUAGCCCGGAAAAUAGUGAAAGUAUCUUCUAGAUAGAAAUGAUGAU
rnacentral:sRNA from 1 species